rnacentral:rRNA from 1 species
CCUACGGGUGGCAGCAGUGGGGAAUAUUGGACAAUGGGCGAAAGCCUGAUCCAGCCAUGCCGCGUGUGUGAAGAAGGCCUUCGGGUUGUAAAGCACUUUCAGUGGGGAAGAAAGCCUUGGGGCUAAUACCCUCGAGGAAGGACAUCACCCACAGAAGAAGCACCGGCUAACUCCGUGCCAGCAGCCGCGGUAAUACGGAGGGUGCGAGCGUUAAUCGGAAUUACUGGGCGUAAAGCGCGCGUAGGCGGUCUGAUAAGCCGGUUGUGAAAGCCCCGGGCUCAACCUGGGAACGGCACCCGGAAGUGACAGGAAAGGGUGCAGGGGAGGAAGGGAAAACCCCGGGUGUAGGGGGGAAAGGGGGAGAGACCGGGAGAAAUACAAGGGGGGAGGGGGGCCUUAGGAACUGACCGUGACGCUGGGGUGGGAAAGCGGGGGUAGAAAAAGGGAUGAAAAACCCUGUUAGUC